AUUGAACGCUGGCGGCAGGCCUAACACAUGCAAGUCGAACGGUAGCACAGAGGAGCUUGCUCCUUGGGUGACGAGUGGCGGACGGGUGAGUAAUGUCUGGGAAACUGCCCGAUGGAGGGGGAUAACUACUGGAAACGGUAGCUAAUACCGCAUAACGUCGCAAGACCAAAGAGGGGGACCUUCGGGCCUCUUGCCAUCGGAUGUGCCCAGAUGGGAUUAGCUAGUAGGUGGGGUAACGGCUCACCUAGGCGACGAUCCCUAGCUGGUCUGAGAGGAUGACCAGCCACACUGGAACUGAGACACGGUCCAGACUCCUACGGGAGGCAGCAGUGGGGAAUAUUGCACAAUGGGCGCAAGCCUGAUGCAGCCAUGCCGCGUGUAUGAAGAAGGCCUUCGGGUUGUAAAGUACUUUCAGCGAGGAGGAAGGCAUUAAGGUUAAUAACCUUAGUGAUUGACGUUACUCGCAGAAGAAGCACCGGCUAACUCCGUGCCAGCAGCCGCGGUAA
rnacentral:rRNA from 1 species